rnacentral:rRNA from 1 species
AUUGAACGCUGGCGGCGUGCUUAACACAUGCAAGUCGAUCGGUAACAGGUGUAGCAAUACAUGCUGACGAGAGGCGGACGGGAGAGGAAUAUUUGGGAAGCUGCCCAUCAGCGGGGGACAACUCGGGGAAACCCUGGCUAAUACCGCAUACGCUCUACGGAGGAAAGCCUGGGCCCGCAAGGCCUCCGGCCGAGCAUGUGUCCGCGGCGGAUUAGCUAGUUGGUGGGGUAACGGCCUACCAAGGCGACGAUCCGUAGCUGGUCUGAGAGGACGAUCAGCCACACUGGGACUGAGACACGGCCCAGACUCCUACGGGAGGCAGCAGUGGGGAAUCUUGCGCAAUGGGCGAAAGCCUGACGCAGCGACGCCGCGUGAGGGAGGAAGGCCUUCGGGUUGUAAACCUCUUUCAGGAGGGGCGAAGCUACUCGGGUUAAUAGCCCAGAGGGUGACGGUACCUCCAGAAGAAGCCCCGGCUAACUACGUGCCAGCCGCCGCCGUAAAAC